rnacentral:piRNA from 1 species
UCUCCCUGUGAAGAAAGCCGAUGGAAUUC